GGGGGAACCCACUAUCUUUAGUCGGAUAGUAUCCUUACGUGAAUACAUAGCGUGAGGAAGGCAGACCCAGGGAACUGAAACAUCUAAGUACCUGGAGGAAGAGAAAGAAAAAUCGAUUUCCUGAGUAGCGGCGAGCGAAACGGAAAGAGCCCAAACCAAGAAGCUUGCUUCUUGGGGUUGUAGGACACUCUAUACGGAGUUACAAAAGAAAGUUAUAAAUGAAGCGGUCUGGAAAGGCCCGCCAAAGACGGUAACAGCCCGGUAGUUGAAAUGGCUUUCCCUCCAGAGUGGAUCCUGAGUACGGCGGAACACGUGAAAUUCCGUCGGAAUCCGGGAGGACCAUCUCCCAAGGCUAAAUACUCCCUAGUGACCGAUAGUGAACCAGUACCGUGAGGGAAAGGUGAAAAGCACCCCGGAAGGGGAGUGAAACAGUUCCUGAAACCGUGUGCCUACAAGUAGUUAGAGCCCGUUAAUGGGUGAUAGCGUGCCUUUUGUAGAAUGAACCGGCGAGUUACGAUUUGUUGCAAGGUUAAGCGGAAAAAGCGGAGCCGUAGCGAAAGCGAGUCUGAAUAGGGCGCAUAAGUAACAGGUCGUAGACCCGAAACCAGGUGAUCUACCCAUGUCCAGGAUGAAGGUAAGGUAAUACUUACUGGAGGUCCGAACCCACGCACGUUGAAAAGUGCGGGGAUGAGGUGUGGGUAGCGGAGAAAUUCCAAUCGAACUUGGAGAUAGCUGGUUCUCUCCGAAAUAGCUUUAGGGCUAGCCUCGAGGUAAAGAGUCAUGGAGGUAGAGCACUGUUUGGACUAGGGGCCCUUCUCGGGUUACCGAAUUCAGAUAAACUCCGAAUGCCAUGUACUUAUACUCGGGAGUCAGACUGCGAGUGAUAAGAUCCGUAGUCGAAAGGGAAACAGCCCAGACCACCAGUUAAGGUCCCCAAAUAUAUGUUAAGUGGAAAAGGAUGUGGGGUUGCUUAGACAACCAGGAUGUUGGCUUAGAAGCAGCCACCAUUGAAAGAGUGCGUAAUAGCUCACUGGUCGAGUGACCCCGCGCCGAAAAUGUACCGGGGCUAAACAUAUUACC
rnacentral:rRNA from 1 species